rnacentral:tRNA from 1 species
AGUGCUGUGGCUUUAGCUGGUGAAAGUGCCUGCCUAGUUAACAAGAGAUUCUGGGUUCAAAUCCCAGCUGUGCCU